rnacentral:rRNA from 1 species
UACGUAGGGUGCAAGCGUUGUCCGGAAUUAUUGGGCGUAAAGAGCUUGUAGGCGGUUUGUCGCGUCUGCUGUGAAAUUUCGGGGCUCAACCCCGAACUUGCAGUGGGUACGGGCAGACUAGAGUGUGGUAGGGGAGACUGGAAUUCCCGGUGUAGCGGUGGAAUGCGUAGAUAUCAGGAGGAACACCGAUGGCGAAGGCAGGUCUCUGGGCCACUACUGACGCUGAGAAGCGAAAGCAUGGGGAGCGAACAGG